rnacentral:lncRNA from 1 species
GCAUUGCAGUUGUGGCCUCAAGAAACAGACGUUUAAGGCUUCUCACUGUCCUGGAACUUGUGAAAUACGCAAGGCUCGCUGCCCAGAAAACCCUAGAGAUCUGCUUGUCUCUACUUCACCAGAGCUGGAACUUUGAGCAAGGACAGCUUCUCUUACGUGGUGUCUGGGCAUUGAAUUCAGGAGCUGGAGAUGGAAGCUUUCAACCGUUAGUGGAGAGGAAAAUGCCCACAAACUCAGAAGCCAUGUGAGGACAUGGAUGUUCACGCACUGCCCACUUUCAUGGAUUUGGAAGGCAGAAAUGUCAGGCUGACGUGUUCAUCCUUGGGAAGAGUCUAGAUUGAAUGUCAGGACACAGUGACAGGACAUUCUACAAAGGAGGGUGCUUUCCCACCACCCACCCACUCCCGCCUCACUGCCCUAGCAUUCCUCUACACUGGGGCAUCAAGCCUUCACAGGACCAAGGGCCUUCCCUCCCAUUGAUGCCAGCCUUCAGAUGAAGACAUAGAACUCUCAGCUCUUCAUGCACCAUGCCUGCCUAGAUGCUGCCAUGCUCCUACCUUGAUGAUAAUGGAGUGAACCUCUGAACCUGUAAGCCAGCUCCAAUUAAAUG